GGGAAAGAAGAGGCCUUGGAGACAGACAGAUCAGGGUUUGCAUGCCGACUCGGCCACUUACUGCCUGAAUGACGCUGGGCCAACCCUGCACUCUCUUUGAGUCUUAGUUUCCUCAUCUGUAAAAUGGGAGUGACCACAACGCAUAUGCCAGGUUCCUGCUGUGAGGACUCAGGGAGGCAGCAUCAUGGGAGAUGCUCAGAAAGAUUUUCCUCCCCCAUCUCUCCCAUCCCCAGCUUUUGAGGUGAUAUUUUCACCUGUUGUCCCCUCCUGUGUGCCUGGCACCAGGCUGGGUGCUUGGUUAUGCUGCCUCUUAGAAUCCUGACAAUCGCUUCUGACAGGUGAUUCAGAGAUAGUUGCCACUGGAAGCGUUUGUGCCAGCUGCUAUGGGAUUUUGGCUCCUCCAGCCUUUUGGAGCUCUCUGGGGCCAGGCUGAGAAGGUUUGGAGGGGGAAGUCUCUGCACAGUGGUGUCUAAUGGUGGCAAAGCUCAGUCUCAAUUCUAAUUUGGCUUUUCACCCAGCCCCACAUGUACCAAGGACAGGUAGGCACGGAAAGACUUUAGAGACAGUUGUGGCUUCCUUGAAGAAUGUAAUGUACCGCCCUUCACCUUGGCAAAGCUUCAUACGUCUUUGUCAUAAAGCUCAUGUGGAAGAAAAGAGAAACAGAGGAAGGACAAUAGCAUUAUGCCUCACAGGCUACUGGAUGCAGGGCUGGUCUCAGGGCAGAGGCAGGAGCUCUGAGGGCAAGACCACUGAGAAGAAGAUGACCACAUAAUUUACUGUCCAAAUGGGACACAUCUGAGAAUGAAUGGGGAAAGUCAUGAUACUUAUGCUGGGACAAGAGGCAUAAACCGGACAUCUGGUCACUCUUCCUAAGAGGACACUGUCUUCAGCCUGCAGGGGACAUAGUUUUGCUGCAGUGGACGGAGCACUGGUUGGAAUCAGAAGGCGCGGAUUUGAGGUCCUGACUCUUGGUGGCUGGUGAGGCCUGAGCCAUCCCUUCACCCCCAGAGACUGCUUCCUCCUCUGCAAAGUCAGGGGUGAUACUAUCGACCUCACAGGGCUGUUGUGGAGAGUGAGUGGGAUGCUGGGCAUUGUAAAGCAUGAUUCGCCGUGAACAUAUUAGGUAUUGGGGACCAAUCCCCCUGCAGCCUCUUGUUAGUGAAGCCAGAAGAAGGGCCUUGUGGGAGAAGCCUGAUUAAGGGACCAAAAGGGAAGUAAAUGCACAGUGCUGCCUUCAACCACAUCCCAUUCCUCCAAAGGGAGAGGAAACCCUCACAUUAGCCCAAGGUAUAGGCAAGGCGGGGUCAGUGGGUCGGACAGCGUCCCUCCAGAAUUCGUAUCUACCUGGAACCUCAGAAUAUGAACUUAUUUGGAGCUAGCAUCUUGCAGAUAUAAUUGAGUCAGGAUUGAGAUGAGAUCCUACUGGAUUAGGGUGGGCCCUCAAUUCAAUGCGAGUGUCCUCGUAAGAAGAGAAGACAUACAGAGGCAGGGAGGAAGACCAUGUGAAGAUACAGGCGGAGACUGAAGUUAUGCUGCCACAAGCCAAGGAAGGCCAGUAGGCACCGGAAGCCAAAAGAGGUACGAGUAUGUUUCCUCACAGUCUUUGGAAGGUGCGACUCUGCUGACACCUGGAUUUCAGACAUCUGGUCCCUGGAACAGCGGGAGAAUACAUUUCUGCUGUUUUUAGCUAACAUGUUUGUGGUAGUUUGUUAUAGUAGCCCUAGGACACUAAUACAGCGGGGUUGAUAAGAGCGAGUGCUAUUUAUACAUCACUCAGGGUGAACCAGGCAUUGUGAUAAACACCACAAGAGAAUUACUCAUUAAAUCCUCACAAUGUGAGGGAGGUAGUAUGUUACCACCAACUACGUCUUACAGAAGAAGGGAGAGACACCUCGUAUCCAAGGCCACGUGGCUGGUGGGUGGUGGAGCCAGGAUUUGUAUCCCAGAGUCUCAACUCCAAAGCCUUCAUCAGAACCACUGAGCUUUCCUACCUCCUAUAGGAACAGGGGUCCAGUAGGCAGGCUGGUCCUGGCUGUGGUGGGAUUUCAAGGGAGCACCUUUUCUUCAAGGUUCAUACCUCAGCCUUCAACUCAUGUGUUCCUGGCAUAUGAAGCUGUGUCUCAUAAGCUGAUAGGGCUGGGCAGGGCUGGAGGGGAAGCGGUGCUGAGGGUGUCCGUCAGCAGGUCUGUAGGUGAGGGGCAGGGCUGGGAGGAGGGGAUGCACAGCGGGUACCUGGGAGGAUAUCUAGAGACUUCCUCCAUCUCUAAUAGGCAGCGAUGCCCUGAAAGGUGGCCAUUCCAGCAAUCAGGAGAUGUGGGGAUUUCAAAGCUCUGGGCUCCUCUGGUCACCAGCCCGUUGUGUGUCUGUGGGGAAGUUACCUACAUUUCUCUGGGAUCUAGUUUCCUCAUCUGUAGGACGGGAUCAACUUCUGUUCUGCUUACCUCAUAGAGCUGUUGUGAGGGUCAAGUGGACCUCUGCUCCUGGGAGAUUAUCCCAUGGAAAGAAUUCAAAAGAAAAGAACAUAAACGUGUGAAGGUACUCCUUGUAGCUUUAUUUGUAAUAGCAAAAACAAAGAAACAAACACAAACAGCUCCACGAAAGAACCAAGCCACAAACAAAGAAACAGAAACCUUCAAAUAAACCUGGAAGUUAUUACGUAUCUUCACCUGUAUGGAAAAUUGUGCAGCCCUUAAUAAGCACAACUCUGGAAGGUAGGCGGUGUGGCUACACGGAAAAUUGUUUGAGCGUUGUUACAUGGAGAGAG
ensembl:lncRNA